GAAGCUAAGCGGCGCUGGUGAAGCGGCUCAUCAGGUCUAUCAGGAAACCUGAGAAUUGGAGUGAGAAUCCCAGUGUGGAAAAUCAGGAAAGAGGCUGGUAUGAGCGACAGAGAAGUCAUUCAGGAAAGAGGUUAUUGAAUUCAUUGGAGAAUGAAUGCUGUUCUGAAUUUGUUUACCUCAACAAAUAGCUUACACCUCCAAUCCUGUCUUGGCGUGCCCUGCUCAGAAGACACAAGACACACCAGGAGUGACGUGAGGAAACAGGCAGUAAAGAUAAGCCUUUGCGACUGGGUUACUCAGACCCUCCCUGACAAGGAGGAGCCCAUCUUGAGUGUCCCAGGAGACCUGGACCUUGUGGACAUCCUGCAGAAUGGCAUAUGGAUCCAUUACAAUGAUGACAUCAUGCUGACUGGGCAAGAUGACAAGAGGUUGCUAUACACCAGAGGGCUUGGGAAGACACAUGCCCUGCAGAAGAAAAACCUGCUCCUGAUUACAAGGAUAUGUCGAUUGCAGGGAGGCAGAGGAAGAAAUACAACAGGAUGUCUAUCGAACACAACUUUGGAGUAAGACCUUGGGACCCAACUCCUGUUUGCUUCAUAUACAAGCUUUGAGACGUGAUGAGUUUGCCUCGAUUCUCUAAGCCUCAGUUUCCUCAUCUGUUGUUGUGAGGGAAAUAAUGCAUGGAAAGCUUUUAACACAAUGGCUGGCACACAGUGAAAGUGCAAGACGUUAACCAUUAUCAUGAGAGUUUUCAAUUGGAAUGAAUAGGAGACUUAAAUUUGCAUGAUUGUACUUUUACACUAAGCCAUUAAUGAUGCAUUCAUUUAGUUUUCUACUCCCAAAGAACAUAGAUUUGAUUAAUUAUAACAAGAAUUUAAAAAUAUUUCCAUUAUUCAGAAAUAACCUACAGAGUCUAAGCCUGUCCUUUCCUUCCUCCCUUUUUCCCAAUCUUUUUUUUUUUUUUUUUUUUUUGAAAGAAAUAGCAAUUAUGUAGUCAGAUUCACUGGCUCUUUCUUCUUCUCCCUGGUAACAGGCUAAGUCUUAACCUUGAUUAGGCAGCAUCGCAUCUGAUCUAAGUUCUUCCCAGCUUUCAGCCCAGCCUGCUUCCCCAGGCUUCAGAGCGCAGCUCUGCACCACCCUCUCCACCCCUGCUUAGCAUCAGAACAUUGCCAAAGCUAAGCAUCUAUGCAAUGUUUCUUUUGAAUAGUUGUCUACCUACUUGGAUAUUUUUUUCCUUCUCCCAGAGGCAAAAAUUGGACCACUUAAUCUAUGCUGUAGGACAGUCUUGCCCCUCAGAAAAUACUUGAGCAUAUUAAGUUGUUAUGAAAUGGAUCUGAGAAGCAGAGUUCUGAACCAUGCCCGUGAAUUUCCCAGCCUCAUCACACUGGCAUUCUUUCAUAGCCCCGAAAUACUUUCCACUUGCCCUUCCUAUGAAUGCAAGUAAAGCAAAGCCUCUUGACAAAGCAAAUUAAGAGUAAUCAAUGGUUUGGGUUUUUUUUUUAAUUAUUAUUUCCUGUGACUCAAAUCAAACCUAUUUCUCAACUGUAACGUACGAAAAGAGAGAGAUCAAGUUGACAUUUAGGAAAAUUGAACAUUGAUAAGUAAAUUGCCUUCACUCAGUCUCUUAGGUCCUCUCUCCUUUCCCCCUACCCCACGACACCCCGUGGCCCUGCUCUCUCUCACACACACAGCUGAAGGUAUCUUUAAAGGGUACCUAUUUCCUGCAGAUCACGCUUAUGUUAAUCUCACUUCAAGUACAGAUGCACCGAGGACAUUACAGGGUCAGUCAUUCUUAUCCACAAAGCUUUAGAUUCCACUACAUUAUUCAAACUGGACAAUGGACUUCCCCAUUUUGUGCCCAGACUUGCUCACUAAUAGAGUGACCUCCUUGUUAUGGGUGAGGAUAUAUUUGAUGCUAAAACUGCUACAAAUUUUUAUCAGCAUUUAAUCUUGAGACUGUGAAUUACUACAUCCUGCAUGUGUUGGUACCUUACUUUGAUUAAAAAUGGGAUAAAUC
rnacentral:lncRNA from 1 species